AUUAAUCAUCAUAUUACAAGGAUAUACAAAGAAAAUAUAGUUUCAUUUAUAACUGUAUGCCUAAAAUUCUUGAAUCUUUGAAUACAAAUUUUUCGAUAUCCUUUAUAUAAUGUGGUAAAUUAUCUUGAGGAUCCUUUUCAGCUAAUUCCAUCCCAACUUCAUCAGCUUCAAUUUCAGAUGAUCUUCUAUACCAAGCAAAAAUAAUUGAAGAAAAUAUAUAAAAACUUGAACAAAGUAUGGCUGCUAUUCUUCUUGGAAACAAAACCCAAAUUAGAAAUGAAAAGAUAAUAGUUGUAAUGUCAUUUAGUAUUCCGAAAGAUAAUGUUUCUGACUGAGAACAAAUUUAUUGUAAUUGUAAUAUUAUAUAUUUUUUUUUUAUAUUUAAGAUUUAUAAUAUAUCAUAUAUUGUUUAUAAUUAAAUAUAACUUACUGUAUGAAGAAGCAUUUCAUGUGACAUUUCAUGAGCUAAAAUAAAUAUUAAUUGAUCAUUGCUUUUAAUGAGAUCAAACAUA